CGCAAGCCUGACGGAGCAACGCCGCGUGAGGGAAGACUGCCUAUGGGUUGUAAACCUCUUUUUUCAGGGAGGAACAAAAUGACGUGUACCUGAAGAAUAAGCAUCGGCUAACUCCGUGCCAGCAGCCGCGGUAAGACGGAGGAUGCAAGUGUUAUCCGGAAUCACUGGGCGUAAAGCGUCUGUAGGUGGUUUAAUAAGUCAACUGUUAAAUCUUGAGGCUCAACUUCAAAAUCGCAGUCGAAACUAUUAGACUAGAGUAUAGUAGAGGUAAAGGGAAUUUCCAGUGGAGCGGUGAAAUGCGUAGAUAUUGGAAAGAACACCGAUGGCGAAAGCACUUUACUGGGCUAUUACUAACACUCAGAGACGAAAGCUAGGGUAGCAAAUG
rnacentral:rRNA from 1 species